rnacentral:lncRNA from 1 species
CAGGAAAACUAUAAAUAUACGCUUUUCUUGGCCAACUCCUGAAAGGGCGAGACUCAUAGUCUGUGUGUUUUUCUUGGACGACAGUGGACAAAAUAAAGAAACGUGCUUUCAAGGUUUCCUACCGAGGUGCUGGUAUACCACCCAGUUCCCGGAGUUACACGCCAUGGGGACGAUGAUUUGUAAGGGCAGUAGAAUACUAUACCUAUGGCUCUCCCUGUUGUGAUCAUGUUCUCGUUAAUGCUGCCAAGAUGGAG